AAGGAAAAUUUCCAAAUGCAGUUUCUACGUAGCUAGCAAAACGGUUAGUCUGGUACUACUGCGCAGUCCGCUCCCGUUAGAAAAAAAUUUAUUGUUGACGGGACGCGGUGUGGUUCUGGAUUUGGAUGCAUCUUACGAGGUCACCCUAGUGUUUCUUAGAGGGUUUGCAGCAGUCUUGCUGUAGAGUAAUGGAUGUUACUCUGGCUGAAGUUCUUUCAGUUCGUGAGGCUCUUUCAUGGUUAAAGACUCGUGGAUCAUAUGAUGCUUGUGUGGAAACUGAUUCAUUGUGAUUGAUCCAGGCGCUGCACUCUUCACGCACUGAAAAAAAAAAUGUAAAACAAGAUUUGCAAUAUAAAAAUAAAACCUGAUUGGAAUUAAAAUUAAAACAAAUUAACCAUCUCUGAUUCCUUCCCGAUUCAUCUUGAUAUUGAACCGGAAUUCUGCA